CUGCCAACAUCAGAGCACAUCGGUUAUGCAUCGCUAGGCAACCCAAACACACACACAGAAACCCACCCCACUGGAAGAAACCACGAGGGUGGGCCAAAGCUACAAGGCAUCUUUUUUUAUGACAAAACCUGCACAUCUCCAUAACUUCUCAGGUACUGAAAAGAUAUGCACACCACGCUGUACAAGACCCAUUGUGCAAGGGAGCCAAUGAAACACAUGACAGAUGGAAAAGGAAUCCUGAUGUCUCCGCAGCUUGUGCUGAACAGGACUGCAGAUUGUGAAGCAGGACUUAGAUAACAGAUACUGGAAAUCACUGUUGAUCUUCAAAAACAUCCUUCCUUGGCUGUGGUCAACCCUAUCUCAUCACGCCAGGCUAAGAGCAGCUGUUAUUGCCACGUCCGCUAGCAUACUGCUCAUUGUGACCUUUUGCAGAGAUGAAAUUGUUCACUGCAGUCCCAGGACUUUCUUCUGUCUUGGUUUGGCUUUAAAUGGUUGGCAAAUAAAAUCUUCCUCUUUCCCUGCCCAUGAAAAA